AGUGAACGCUGGCGGUAGGCCUAACACAUGCAAGUCGAACGGCAGCACAGUAAGAGCUUGCUCUUACAGGUGGCGAGUGGUGGACGGGCGAGGAAAACAUCGGACUCUACUUUUUCGUGGGGGAUCACGUAGGGAAACUUACGCUAAUACCGCAUACGACCUACGGGUGAAAGCAGGGGAUCUUCGGCCCUUGCGCGAUUGAAUGAGCCGAUGUCGGAUUAGCUAGUUGGCGGGGUAAAGGCCCACCAAGGCGACGAUCCGUAGCUGGUCUGAGAGGAUGAUCAGCCACACUGGAACUGAGACACGGUCCAGACUCCUACGGGAUGCAUCAGUGGAGAAUUUUGGACAAUGGGCGCAAGCCUGAGCCAGCCAUACCGCGUGGGUGAAGAAGGCCUUCGGGUUGUAAAGCCCUUUUGUUGGGAAAGAAAAGCAGCAGGUUAAUACCCCGCUGUUCUGACGGUACCUAAAGAAUAAGCACCGGCUAACUUCGUG
rnacentral:rRNA from 1 species